rnacentral:rRNA from 1 species
UACGAAGGGGGCUAGCGUUGCUCGGAAUCACUGGGCGUAAAGGGUGCGUAGGCGGGUCUUUAAGUCAGAGGUGAAAUCCUGGAGCUCAACUCCAGAACUGCCUUUGAUACUGAUAGUCUUGAGUAUGGGAGAGGUGAGUGGAACUGCGAGUGUAGAGGUGAAAUUCGUAGAUAUUCGCAAGAACACCAGUGGCGAAGGCGGCUCACUGGCCCAUUACUGACGCUGAGGCACGAAAGCGUGGGGAGCAAACAGG